rnacentral:rRNA from 1 species
AGUGAACGCUGGCGGUAGGCCUAACACAUGCAAGUCGAACGGCAGCACAGUAAGAGCUUGCUCUUACGGGUGGCGAGUGGCGGACGGGUGAGGAAUACAUCGGAAUCUACUUUUUCGUGGGGGAUAACGUAGGGAAAAUUACGCUAAUACCGCAUACGACCUACGGGUGAAAGCAGGGGAUAUUCGGUCCUUGUGCGAUUGAAUGAGCCGAUGUCGGAUUCGCUAGUUGGCGGGGUAAAGGCCCACCAAGGCGACGAUCCGUAGCUGGUCUGAGAGGAUGAUCAGCCACACUUGAACUGAGACACGGUCCAGACGCCUACUGGAGGCAGCAGUGGGGAAUAUGGGACAAUGGGCGCAAGCCUGAUCCAGCCAUACCGCGUGGGUGAAGAAGGCCUUCGGGUUGUAAAGCCCUUUUGUUGGGAAAGAAAAGCAGCAGGUUAAUACCCCGCUGUUCUGACGGUACCCAAAGAAGAAGCACCGGCUAACUUCGUG